rnacentral:rRNA from 1 species
AGGACGAACGCUGGCGGCGUGCUUAACACAUGCAAGUCAAGGGGGCGGAGCAAUCUGCAACCGGCGAACGGGUGCGUAACACGUGAGCGACCUAUCGUGGUGUGGGGGAUAGCCGGCCCAACGGCCGGGUAAUACCGCAUGCGCUCUUUGAGGGGCAUCCCUUGGGGAGGAAAGUCUUCGGACGCACGGCGAGGGGCUCGCGGCCUAUCAGCUAGUUGGUGGGGUCAUGGCUCACCAAGGCAUCGACGGGUAGC